rnacentral:rRNA from 1 species
AUUGAACGCUGGCGGCAGGCCUAACACAUGCAAGUCGAGCGGAUGAAGGGAGCUUGCUCCUGGAUUCAGCUGCGGACGGGUGAGUAAUGCCUAGGAAUCUGCCUGGUAGUGGGGGAUAACGUCCGGAAACGGGCGCUAAUACCGCAUACGUCCUGAGGGAGAAAGUGUGGGAUCUUCGGACCUCACGCUAUCAGAUGAGCCGAGGUCGGAUUAGCUAGUUGGUGGGGUAAAGGCCUACCAAGGCGACGAUCCGUAACUGGUCUGAGAGGAUGAUCAGUCACACUGGAACUGAGACACGGUCCAGACUCCUACGGGAGGCAGCAGUGGGGAAUAUUGGACAAAGGGCGAAAGCCUGAUCCAGCCAUGCCGCGUGUGUGAAGAAGGUCUUCGGAUUGUAAAGCACUUUAAGUUGGGAGGAAGGGCAGUAAGUUAAUACCUUGCUGUUUUGACGUUACCAACAGAAUAAGCACCGGCUAACUUCGUG